AAUAUCAAAGAAUGUUAUCUAAAUGAACAAAAGAAUUUUACCACUAUAUAUAACAAAUAAAUGAAAUUAUGUAUAAAACCAAUCUCAUACACCUUUUUCUCCCCUCUAAUUACACAUAAAUCAUAAAUCACACACAUCUUAAUUUUUUCUUUUUUCUUCCAAUAAUAAUUAUCAUAAUCCAGCAUUUCUCUGUGUAUUAUUAUUAGUAACAACAGAAGCAGAAAAGGGAGCAGGAGCAGCAAACCGAGAAGAGAAAUUACGAAAAAGCCCAUCAUCAUUUUCUACAGCUUCAUCUCCUUCAUCAAAGUUAAGAGCAUAACUAUCAGAAUCAUACUGAAAUUGCUGCCCCUUAGAUUUUUUGGAAUUACAAUAUUUCCCCAUUUUCCUAACAAAAUUCUUCCAUUUUGGUCCAGCUACAAGUUCUGAAUAUUCCUUUAAUUCCUUCAUCUUUGUCACCAUCCAUGAGUCUCUGUCUUCACCUUGUUGUAAUAGUGAAUUUGCUUCACCUUCUUUUGAUUGAAAACAGGGGAAUCUGAAACAACCACAAAAAAGUGAAGGUUCUUCUUGGUAAAAAUAGUUUUCUGUUCCUUCUUGGGCAUUUUCUCUGAUGGGUGAAUAAUUGUUGUUCAUCAUCUCCUGUUUAAUUUUCUUGAAAAUUUCAGCAAUAAGUUGAGCUUGGUGUCAGUGUUUUUGAGUUUUGGUUGGGUUUGGGGGGGGGGGGGGUUAUUGGUAGGUAUAUAUGUGUAUAUUGGUGUGUAUAUAUGUUUAAUUUUCUUGAAAAUUCAGCAAAAAUUUGAUCUUGGUGAGUGUUUUUUGGGGUUUUGGGGUGGUGGGGUUUUAGGUUUGAGGGGUGGAGUGGGGGUGGGGGGAGAGGAAGAAAGAUUAGUGGUGGAAGAUGAAGGAAAAGGGUGGGUAUAUAUAUGUAUAUUGGUGUAUGUAUAUGUUUAAUUUUCUUGAAAAUUCAGCAAAACAAUUGAUCUUGGUGUGUGUUUUUGAGUUUUUGGGGCAGUGGGGUAUUAGGUAGGGGAGAGGAAGAAAGAUUAAUGGUGGAAGAAGGAGAAAGAUGGUGGGUAUAUAUAUUGUAUAUUGGUGUAUAUGUAAUAUGGGUGCGUGUGUUUUUU
rnacentral:lncRNA from 1 species